CUGGGCCGCAGGAGCCUGGCUGCAAGAGCUUCACCAGCAGCGCUCAGACCCAUCCUCCCCAGAAUGCUCUACUCAGCUCUGACCCAAGAGCCUGACCCGUGCUCUGGGGUCUCCUUGCACACCUGCGUGGACACAGCUUACACCAGAGAGGACCUGCUCUGCUAGGGUGAUGCAGGGUCCACUUCUGAGGCUGUCGGGGGUGUCCGAGGACAGCAAGGCUGGGCCAUCCAGCCUGACUGGGUCCUGGGAAGCAGACGUGAGGCCCCCAGACUGGAGGCAGAGUUUCUGGAUGGGACUUUAUUUAUGCACUUGAGGGGACAGGACAUUGGCAUCUUCUCACAUCCUUCCCCAGGGGACAAGCCAGGAGGAGGAGAGGCCACCUGCAGGAGCGCUCUGUCCUCGCCUAAUAAUGACUCCCAGCGCCAGCCCAGCUAUUUUUAGAGUCCCCUUGCCCAGCCUGGUGUGACUCAGCAAGGCCAGCUGGGAAGAGAGAGCUAUGGCCGACGCAGGAGGGAUGUUGGGGGGUGGGGCAGGGCUACGCCACGCCGAGGGCGCCAGGCCCGCCACAGGACCUGGGGCCCUGGAGCCUGGCCUGCGGAGCCAGAACGGCACAGUGUUCUCCCCGCCCCCAGCCACCGCCGCCCUCCUGGCUCCCAGCGGGCUCCUCCCCAAACUGGAGCAUGGAAAAUCUGAUGUCAGAAUUCCAGCGUCAGCACGGAAUGCGGCCUGACCUUCACCUCCCAGAGCGCCAGGCCCAGCGCCUCGGGCGCAGGCUGGGCCCCCCAGCAUCUCUGGACACCCUGGGGCCACCUCCUCCUACCAGGCCACCUCUCCUGGGGGCCGUCCACCCUCCCCCUCUGCCUGGUCCCCAUGGCCAUCCUGGCUGGCUGGCUCCCACAGUGUGGCCCUGCUGCUCAGCACCCAGAUGUGCCACUCGGCAUGUCCCUGGACUGGCCUGGCCUCAGCAGCCAGACUGUUGGUGCAGCUGCCCAGAGCUCUGACACUGGAACGGCUUCAGGGGCGGGUCAUGGGGGGUGGUCGUGAAGCCAUGGGGCAGCACCUGCCCCAGCCUUUAGCCCUGGACCUCCCGGGCUUUGCUGAAGCCCCAACUCCCCACUCCUAGAAGAGUCUGGCUUCAGGAUGGAGGAAAGUAGCAGACCAGGAGAGCUGGGGGGUGCACUGUAUGUGUGCGUGCUUCUGCAUUGUACACGUUAUGUGCAGGUACACCUAUGAUGAACACGCAUAGUCAUGCGUGUAUAUGUGUGCAUCAUGUACGGGGACUGCAUACAAACACAGACAGGGCUGUGGCUCCGUCAGAACCACAUCACUUGUCUCUGCAGGAGGAGGGGCACUGGGGACCCUCCUGGAAAACAAGGAGGCCUGGUAGUGAGUGAGGUAGGGGAAAGCGAUAGCUUUCUAUUUGGGUGACCAGCUCUGGGUGGGGGCAGGGUGAGGCAGUCCUUCUGCCUUCUUUGGGGUCAGUCCCUGUCUGCAGGCUGACUAGCACCCAGCCCUCCAAGGCUCCCCUUGGAUCUCCCAUAUCUGUGUCCAUGGAAGUCUCCAAGGAAGAUAUGUCCGCGCUGGGGGUCACAGCACUUGGAACCUCCUCUUGAUUGUUUCUCUGCUUCAAGAGCUAGGGUGCUUUAUAUUUAGAGAAGAAAAUUGCUUCCUAAACAUGGAUAAUAACAGCAAAUCAUA